rnacentral:sRNA from 1 species
CCCUUGAGGCAAUUAAUCCACACGUACAUCGACACAUCGCGCUGGGUGCCCCACCUGAAAAGGGGUUGCGGGAUGGGAUGUACGGAGGCCAAAC